GUAGUAUUCCCUCCGUCCCAAAAUUCUUGUCUUACAUUUGUUUAGAUACAGAUGUAUCUAACACUAAAAUGUAACUAGAUACAUCCGUAUUUAGACAAACUUAAGACAAGAAUUUUGGGACGGAGGGAGUACAAA
rnacentral:pre_miRNA from 1 species